CCUUGCAGUGCCUUUUUUUUAACGAAGUAUACGCGCUUCCUAUUUUCGCUGGCCAUUUCACCGUCACGAAACGCGCUCUUUCUGCAUUUGUCGAGCAAAUUCCCACAACGCCGACACGCGAUUGGUCACAACACGAAUCGCCUACAGAUGGGAAAUCGCAGGACUAAGUAACCCCUCACGAGACGACGAUAUUGACAGCGAGCUUGCGCGUGUGACGGCCAGGCGGGGGCCGUUCUCGACGAAGUACAGCAGCCAACGACGGGUGUGCCGCAGAGUGAGGAAAAGCGAAAGCAGAGCUACUUUGGGCGUUUUACCUGUCUUUGGAUCUACUCUCACAACAGUUUUGCUUCCGUGAAGGUGUGCUUACGCGCGUUGCUGCGGACGCAGCUGUAUACUGUCUGUGCACUGCACUCGUGUCAUCAGUGCCCAUCGAAGAACAGGCACCUGGACUCGCACGUUGUUCCGAAGGCUCCUCUUUUCCAACUACACGUCUCUCUCGCGCGCGCACAGGUUUUUGCAACUGCCUUGGUGCUGUCGUGCUUUUUCUUUCCUGCCCCUUUCUCUGUCUCCCUUUUUGUGCCUGCGCCUCCCUCUCCCUCUCUCUCUUUGCCGCUUUCGGUGUCUUUGCUUGACCUCUUUGCGAAGGUCCUGUUUUUGCUGCUGCUGCUGCUGCGCCGUUACAUGCGUCGGUGCUCUUUGUAAAAGCGCCUUCAUCGUGCCUUUUUCUAUUAUUCUUUUUUUAAUUUCAAGGCUGACACACACACACACACACACACACAUACUAGCGGCAACAACACCAACAACAAGGGAACGGAGCACGUCCUUCUUCCUCGGCCUCUCGUUUCUUCCCGUCGUUUGUUGUUUCUGUCCAUCUUUUUCACUCAUCCUGAAAAACGUGUUCACGUCGUCUGUCAGCUUUACACACCGUGAUUUUCUUGUGUUCUUCUCGUCAAGCUCUCUCACCUUCUCUCAGUACGCGUCCCUCCCUCCUCUCUCCUCCUCCUCCUCUCUGUUUCCUUUUGUGGGGUUAGCUUGUGCUUCAUCAAAGAGUGUAUAGCCGUUGUGAUUUUCCUUUUCCGUUUGAUCUGUUGUGCGUAUCGCUGUACACGCGACAAGUGUUGCUCUGUUAUUUUGCUCUCCUUCCCUUUUCCAGCUCCUCUCUUCUUCACGCCUUGUCCUUCGUUUUUUUUUUUUUCAAUUUAUCUUCCCUCGUGCGUCUGCGUGCGCCCCUACUUUCUCUGUGUUUCUACGUGUGUCUGGCUCUCUCCAUAUUGGUGUGACCAUUUCUUGUCCCCUUCCUCUCUUCCUUGGUGCACAUAGUGGCAAGUGGCGCUUUUUGACUGCGUCGAUUCUAUUUCUUCUCCCCUGAUCGUGUUCCUUCUCCUUUGCCGAUCAUCUUCAUCUGCCAUCUUUAUUCUUGUUAUCGUCAGCACAUAGUUGUCCCUGCGUCUGAGGGGGAAGCUUCAGCUGCUCUUUUGCGGCUCACGUGCCGUUCUCUCUCUCUCGUGUAUCAUUCGCAUUGCUCUUCCCUUCAAGUUUCUUUCAGCGAAACACACACGGAAAAGAACUGCCGGGACUGCGCCUUGUUUCUGUUGUGUGGUUCACAGGAGAGAGGGCCUUGCGAAGGGCAAAUGGGAGGCGCCCAUUUCGAUCGUGUGACUAACACCAGCGGCACACCAACGAAGGGGAUACACCUCACGUCCGAAGAAAAAAACGACUGAGGUGCCUCUUUACCAGGAAGAAGCAACGAAAGAAAAAUAAGAGAGAAACAUCGGAGAGUAAAGAUACACGUGUGCCUGUUACCGUGUCGGUAUCUUAGAUUUGGUGUGUUUGUUCGUGUUUGGUGCGUACCUGUUCUUGUGUUGUCGUUGUUGUCCCCCUCUCUUUUCGCCCUUUGAAAGUUCUGCAUGCUGUGUGUGCGGGUGUCAGUUUUGGUGUGCUGCCUAUUCCUUCUGUUCACCGACCUUAUUCCCUGCUCUUUUUCUUCGCGGCGGUACACGAGCUUGUCUUUCUGUGUGUGUGUGUGUGCUUGCGCUUGUAGCGUUGAUAUCCGUGUACCAGUUUCGUCUUUUUCUUUUCUCAAACCUCUCUCUCCUGCUAUCACAUAGCGCUGUAGUCGGGGGUUCUGCUCCCCCCCCUUUUCGCCUUUCGAAAGAGCAGCCGACCGAAUAUCUUGGAGCAGCACGCUUCGGUUAUUGUCGUCGCCAACGCCUUCGUUGCUGAAUCUGUGUGCAUGUGGUGUGUCGAGAAAAAGAGAAAGGAAUGAGUGCAACUGAGCCACUUUCGGUAUCACGUGUGCCACAAACGGAGCUAUACUCUCCUUCUUUUUUUUUUCGCUCCCGCGCACGCUAACACGCACGUACACCCCUCAGACAUACCCCCUCCCCCUCGUUACACGUCACGGUCAACACCUUCGAACAACCAAAGAGACGGCAAGCGAGUACAGCAUUUGAGCCUAACUUACCAAUUCUCUCCCCUCCUCCUCCCCAGUAACGACUCACCGAAACGUUUGUGAGUGCUGCACUUGCAUUAUAUUCAGUCUCGGGCGUAAACGCUGUUCGGUUGGCUUCUUUUGUUGCCCUCGCUCUGUCUUUUGGGCUCAUCGUUUGCGCCUUCUAGUCUGUUUGCCCACCCGCUGCGGCGCUGAUUCCUGUUGCCCUCCGCCUCCCCACCCGCACACCCACACGCACCUUUUUUUUUGCUAUGUCGCUCUUUUGACCCCCUCUUUUUGCUGCCUUGUCUUGUCGCCUCCAUCUCGCGUCCUUCUCCAUCGCCUCACCGUCCAGCCUCCUCUUUAUCAUCCUUCUCAAUCCCUCCAUCUUAUUCCCCCUCCCCCUCCCCCACAACCACUUCUCCAUCUGAUUCUUUCUCAGUUUUUUUUUUUGGUUUCUUUUUUUGUUUUGUGUUUGUGCUCACGUGUCGCUUCUCAUUUUUAUUCGCUUUGGGGGAGUCUCACGUGCGUCUGUCUUCUUGCUAUUUUAUGUUUUCCCCGCUUUUUAUUUCGGAUCGUUUUGCUGCGAGUGGUGUAUGUAGGCAACCACACACCCUCCCCUUAUUUGAAACAACACACACGCACGUAAUCAUAAGCGCCCCUUUUUUUGUCUGUUUGUUUUGCUGUGCUCUUCUUCCGCUCAUCCUACCUCCGCUUUCUGCUCGUCAUAUAUGUUUAUAGAUAACAUAGUGCUUAUUUUCUCCUCUGUGUUCAGGCAUCUGCCUCCUCCCUCCCUCCCUCCUCCUUACCAGCACUGCUCUGCUCUCGCUGUCUCCGUCUGUUCCAGGUCGUUUUCUCCCCCUUUACAGCUUCGCUUUUUUUCGGGCUUCUUUGUCUCUCUGAUGUGAGCACCUUCGUGUAGUUGUCGCUGGUUGAUGCUAUUGUCUCUCUCCCGCCCGACCUCCCUCUCCCCACUCCAUCAAGUGCGAUAUCGAAUCGCUUGCUUGUUCUAUCCCUCUCCCUCCGACUUCCACUCCACCAUCCCCCUUUCGCACCUUCACCUUUCCUCUUGUUUGUUUUCCUUUCUAGCGGCUGUAUCGUGAUCUCUUUUUUUUUGCUGUCGUCUUGUGUGUCUGCGAGCAAUCGUGGCCGUGUGUGUUGGGUCUUGUUCGGGCCUGCAUAUUGUUUCUCUUCUAGCUGUGCCGUGCUGUGUGUGUUUUCUUCUUUUUUCCAUUGGACACGUUCCGCAAGCUCACCCACGGCAGCCACCACAGAGUUGCCUUUUCUUUUUUUUUUCGCUCGCGCGUGCUGGGUGGGCGCACACGCCUCCUGCGGUGCCGUGCCGGUGUAUGAGAGGGCGCGGAAAGCGCCAUCCGCGACAUCAUACGAGCCCUGUUUUUGCACCGGUUUGUGGAUAGGCGACAGUGGGCAGAGGAGAGGGUUUGCUCGGCACAUGUUGCACGAGUAGCACGUCGCGGCUGUAGAAAGUACGUAAACCCAUCAAACAGCUCACCUGUGGACAGGCAAACGCAGCGUACGCACCUCUCCGUGUGCCGAUGCGUGAUGGCGCAUCUCGACUCUGAUGCGAUAACUCCUCACUCGCCGCGCAGCCAACCGAGGAUCCUGGCGGGGCACAUUGGAGAAGAGAAGGAUGCGAUUGACCGGGAUGGGAUGCAGCCAGGGGGAGACGUGGGGAAUGGGGCGGCGAGCAUAUUACGCCGGCGUUGGAUGUAUGAUGGAAGGAGAAAAAUUGCUCCCUUUCUCUCGGCGCGACACACGCACCAGGAGAGCAAGGAAAAAGUCGAGAUUGGUGGGGACUCUUCCACAGUGGUCGUGAGCCCUAACGUGAUUGCCGCCACUCCGCGCGAAAACCGCAGCCCACUUGACAGGGCCAUCACUCCACCAUCCCCGCUGCAACUGCUCCCCAAGACGAUUCUGCCUGCGUCCGUGGUCGCCUCCACGUCACUCGCCAGGCAACACGGUGUCCGUGGUAACGUGCGGCCUGUCGACAAGGCCUCAACGUAUAAUGACGAGCAGGCCAACCCAGAAGAGCAUAGUAGUCCGUCGUGCUCUAUAAUUGCCCCUUCCAGCAGCGGCGGCGGUGACUUUUCACUGGAGGCCGACAACGACGCGCAGCUCAGCAACGCCCCGUGCCACGCGCCGUUGGGGAGGCGGCUCACUCAGCUGGAGCUACCUUUUCCACAGGUGACGCUCAGUAGCCUUUUGCAGUCUAACCAGUCUACCUCCGCCGAUGGCGUGGGCACGUCUGCCGGCUCUCAGGACACUCGGCUGUCGUCGAAGCGGAGCACGGCAAGCCGCCGCUGCUACGUGCCAGGGCGUGCUUCUCGGCUCCACUCAAACACCCUCGUUUCCGAAGGCGGUGGCGGGAUGCUGAGCGCUCUCUUCAGCAACACUUCACGGGCUACAACACAAGCUAGUGAAGUCACCACACGCGCGCCGAACGAGUCCCUCCACGGCCUUGACACAAGCUACAUGCGGGCGUCAUUGCUGUCCCUCUCCAGUGAGACGGAGUCCGCUUCAGAGGGCACAUCUUUGACGCCAGUGCAGCAACAUGAUGAGUCCAUCACGUAUCGCUCGUCGCUUCCGCCGCCGCCGCCGCCGCCGCCGGUGCGCACGAGGACCUUCACCCUUGCUGAGGCCACGGAAAACGCGGCGCAUGCAGCUGCCAAGCAUUCUUCGACUCGGUUGACGCCGUCUGCGCUGAUGACACCGCCGUUGAUGGCGGUAGAACCGCGGUCGCGGCUACCCUCUUUUCGUACGCGCAACCCCCUCAUGCAGCCGCGACAACUCUCGGACGGGCACCUCGGUGAACAUGCAGUGGCCCCAUCUCAGUUCCAUGAUGAAGACGCACCCGCGGCAGCCGGCACCCCUCGCUCCUGUUACCGAGGCCCACGCUCUGCCUUGCUUCGAGGCUGCGCAGACAGAAGGCAAAGCGCUUCGCGCACCCCACCCAUCGCAGUGCUCGUCCCGCUUCCGCCGAAGUCGGAGGAACUGGCACCGGCACCGGCACCAGCGUCAACACCAGCAACAGCCUCACCGCCGCCUACGCAACCACUCGAUAGCGACACUUAUGCGGUGAACGCAAAUAGCCUGGCCUCCGAGAUGAGCUUCCGCUACCGAGCGCGGCCUUCUCCCAGGGCACAGCAACUAGAUCCGGCGUCGGUGCUGGAGCCGCGCGCUUCUUUAUGUGUGUCACCGCUUCACCCUUCGCUGUCUCAAGUUUAUGUGCUCACUCCGAGGCCGCAGCCGCCGCGGUCGACGCCGGCGCGCUCUUCUCCCCCUCGCAGUGGCGAUCCUACACUGCUCGAGUACGUUGCUAGCUUGAAGCCACCACGCGGCUCUUGCAGCAUCCGCAGAGCUCUUCUGUCUGUUGGCGUAGCUCUCUGCGCCGUGCCGUUGUGCGUGGCCAUUCUGCUGUUUGGUUUACAUUACUGGGCUGUUACGUUGCAAGAGAAGAGCUAUGCGGAGGUGCUGCUGCACCCUCGCGUGGGGACGAUGCUGAAAGUCGACUUGGAGCUGCUGCUCAGCAUUCUGCUUUCGAUUGUGGUGGUGGGUGGUGGAAGUGGCGUCGUCAUCUACGUCGUGCUUUAUCGCCUCGCCAUCCGCCAUCAGGUGCGUGCCUUUGCUCUGUGCGUGCGACUUGCAGAUACGCUGUCACCGUUGGAUGUGCAUCACCUCGCAGCGGAGGACUCGGAGGGUCGGCACAACAGCGCGAUGCCGAUCGACGCCGCUGCCGCGGCGGCACAGCAGGCCGACAACGGCGAUUCUCGUGCGCAGUGGUUUUCUCCGUUUGUCGCCCGAUGGCAUGAGGAGGUGAGUCGGCUUGUUAAGCUUCUCACGUGCCCGAUAGAGGUGAGCCAGGCAGAGUGGCGCUCCUUUCUCUUCUCGGAGCGGCGCAGCCUCGCCUUGCCAAACGAGGGCACCAACGGGAGCGGCGAUCUCCCCGUGACAGAGACGACGCUGGCUGAUGGACCCUUUCAGAACAGCAACAACCGCCGCUCGCUCCCUUUUGGUGUGCAAGCGUCUGUGCCCAUGACGGAGAACGAGCCGUGGCCGCCGCAUGAAGCGCAACCCGGAUCGCGGUAUCGAAUGAGCGAAGCCGUCUUCUCCCGGCGACCGCAGCACCCAGUGGACGUGAGCAAGCGGCAAGAGGCGGUCACGGUGGUGGUGUGCCGUCUCAUGGCCCCGGCGGAGCUGCUUGUGGAGCAGAGGCCCCUGACGCAGGCGCAGCUGAAGGAGCUGCAGCGACUCUCGAACGAGUUUCAUCAGCGCCUCCGCACCGUGCCGCGGACGUCGUGCGCUGCCGUUACGGAGGUGGGUGUGUCUGAAGUGGUCUUCUCCUUUAAUACCUUCUCUCCACUCCCCUCUCUGGUUGCAAGCCCUGCAGCCGUGGCGCUGGCUGUGGUAGCACAAAAGGCGCUUGUGGAGUGGUCGCCGACGUAUCGCGGCACCCCGGUGCAGUGGGGCAUCGCCGUGCACCGUUUCGAUGCUUACAUAUGCCCCACGCGCGGUAUGCAAGGGCGGCUCUACGUCAGUUUUGGGACGGUCGAGUACGACUUUGCCCGUCAACUGGCGGAGCUGGCGGCACUGUUCGACUACGGCGCGUUGUGUCACGCCGGGUUUCUUGCGGACGCUUCGUGUGAAUCGCAAUGUCUCCCCGUAGACUACGUGAUGGAUUUGCGUCAGCAGGCCUUUUUGGUGUACCAGCUGCACGACGGCGACGUCGACAGGGAGCAGCGGCUGCAGAUGAAUAGCGCCAUUGCGUCCAUGCGCAACGGCGAGUACAAGGCAGCUGCGGAUGCACUGGGAAUGUGGAGGAGAAAGAGCGGCGGCUGCAGCGGCCUGCCGAGGACCGCUGCACACCUGCGAUAUGUUGCGGGGUUUCUGGAGCGCGCCGCGCGUAAGCGUCGGCUGCGCGUUUCUGAGGCCACAGUAGAGGCAGUAACCGCACCGUCUUUCACUUGUGCGGUCGAGGGUGUUGCCGAGUGGGCUGCAGAAAGUCUUCUGACGUCGUAUUUCCGCCCACCUCCUGUGUGGGAGGAGGAGGAGGCGCCGCGAGCGCCGAGCCCUGAUCUGCUUCGCGCGCCAGCUAUUCUGGCGACGAGCGGAGGCGGUAGUUGCGGCUUGCGAAAACGGGAGUGCGGUAGCAGCAACGUACUUGUGCCAUUUUCCCCGCAACCAUCGCGUGGCGCCGCGGGCGAGUUGGCAACGUUCUUUCGAUCACUGAUGCGCCGCUCAUACCAGGCUCGCACCCGCUACGUAUUGUCGGCUGAGCAACGGGAGGGGCAAGUAGGAUCCAGAGCCAUGGGGGAGCCCCCGCAUCAGCCGCGUGAGGUCUUGGCGGCGAUAGAGGGCGACGCAAGACCUCCUAGCUCUUUGCAGAGGUGUUACGGGCUACCCACUCCCGGGACCGAGUCUGUUUCAGGAGAACGUAACGUGCUCGAGGACGGCUCUGCGCCUCUUUCGCCGCGUGACAAUGUCACCGGCUGCUCGUCCUCGUUUCAUGCGACGCGCUCUGUUUUCGAGGCGUCGACCCCGACCACUACAUUUCCGGACGUGACGUGUGGAGAUCGGAAGUGGGCCGCGCUCGCACUUCUGACAGAGCCGGACCAAAGCACGGUCACCGUGACCGCGUCGAGGCCGCGCCUCUUCUCGAACAGUUGGAGUCUUGCCGAAUCUGGUGUGCCGGAGAUGCCGACGCUGACGCCACUGACCUCGGGGGUUUUGCGGUCUUCGCAGUCGGAUGUCCGGCGGCAACGUCACGCCUCCAUUCUAAUCUCGGCAGCGAAAAAGGAAGACGAUGCGGCGGGUCCUGUCGCCGCCUGUGCAUCUGCAAAGGACAAUGCAACUCUGCGCUCUUCGCGAGGGCGGCGCGACAGCGGCGGUUGCAGGAGUGAGCGACCACGCGGUCGUCAUGGCUCCCAGUUUACGACGGAGGUCCCGACCAGCGAUGAGUUGUCGUCACGGCUGUUGGGGCAUCAAUGCGUCUCCCAGCUGACCGACACCACGAUCGCCCGCUUCCCGUCCGAGGUGAGCCACGAAUCUCUGUCGGCGCGCUCUGGUUCAGUGCGUCGGCGCGCCUCUGCGAGCACCGCCGCCGCCUCCUCGGUUCUCCCUCUCUUUGCGGACAGCAUGGUACCCUUUACUGUGCAGGACAGGACAGAGGCGCGCAGUGAGGCGGAGACUGCCUGCGAGGCAGAUCUUAAUCAAGAGCUGUCGAUGAUGUCUGUUGCGCAGCGCUCCCGUUCCCGGCGCAGCCACCGUGCGACGGCGCAGCCAUCGUCUGUGGUCUGCUCCUGUACGAGGCGCAUCGACAACAGCUCGAGCAACACGGUGAUGGUCUUCCAAGGCUUCCACCCAGACGGCUAUCUAGUUGUGGUGAAGCGUGCGGACCGCCGUGCUGCGAAGCAGGUGGCGCAGCUGCGGAACGAAGUGGAUCUGUUGCGGGAGCUGCAUCACCGCAACGUCGUCAACAUCGUCAGUGCCUGGAAGGACGACGAGGCGGUGUAUUUCGCGAUGGAGUACGCUUGCGAAACGCUCGCGACCGUUCUGCAGAAGUUCAAGGUGCUGCUGCCCGGGGUUGUACGCUUCUACGCGCGUGAGGUGCUGAACGCGCUGGUCUAUCUGCACCGGGACUGCGGCAUCAUCCACCGCGAUCUGUCGCCCAACAACGUCAUCAUCACCAACACAACGGAUCGAAGUCGCGUGAAGUUAAUUGACUUUGGCCGCUCCAUCAUGGCACCGCACUUCUGCAGUGGCAGCAGUGGCAUGUCGACGACAGUGCCAGGCAACGCCAGCCUCGAGUUCACGGAGCAGCACUCGAGCCGCAACAAGGUAAGUGUCACGGACGUGCCCACGUCGGUCGUCGGGACGCCCCUCUUCAUGUCCCCGCAGGCUUGCAGAGGCCUUGCGCAUCCGACGAGCGACAUCUGGAGCUUGGGCAUCAUUGUGCACCUGUGCCUCACAGGGACCUACCCGUACCCGCCAGAGACCUUUACCGAUCCCGAGACGUUUGUUGCAAAUAUCGGGAGCGGCCGUUUGACCCCGGUGAUCGCGGACACUUGCGAGAUGACUGGCGAGGCACGUAGCUUUAUUGAACAGUGCUUGACCCUGAGCCACACCGAACGUCCCUCUGCCGCAGCGCUGCUGAAACACGGCUUUGUAGAACGCUGAGUGGCAUGCGAGGGCGUUUGCGUGAUCUUUUUCCCUUGCCGCGUAUCCUUUUUUUUCUUGGCUUCGGGCUGUCUUCUCGGCAACCACCGCAAUGAGUUCCCCUACCGACGCAUCCACCCGUCUGUCUCUCUCUUUUUUUUUCCCAGUCCUGCUGUGAGCUAAUCUGCCGCGUGCAGCUUGAUGCCAGCUAGGAAGAUUGUUGCUGUGCGCGCUGCUUUUUAUUCCGCCCUACUCCCCCUUUUCUGCGUGUCUGUCUGAUUGCCUCUGUUGGCCAGCGGCAUGAGUUCUCUGCGAGUCGCCUCCUUCCUCCCGUCCCGUGCUGUGCUUUUGAGCGUGGCUUGCUAGACGACUGCUGCUCCCUUCUCGCCUUAGUUUUUCCUGUCCAUCUCCCCCAUGUACGUGUUUUUUUUUUCUUCUCGGGUGGGUUGGGUGGGCGGGGGUGGAGGAGGAGGGCGCUCGGCUCUCGCCGACGUAUGAGCGAGUGCCGCUUUGCGUCUGUGUGCCUGCAUGUGCGCAUAUCUUUUCCUCAUGAACCCCUCUUGUUGCUUUUAUCGCCGUUGCUGUUCCUCUCCCUUUCUCUCGUCUCCUUGUAAUGUUUGUGCCCGUGUGUGUGUGUGUGUGUGUUUCUUCUUGUUCUCUGCUGGCAUUCCCCCCCCCCUCCCACACCGCCACCACCCACCACUAGCCUCUUCCCCCUUCCUUUCAUCUUUUCCUUUUCUUAACCUUCUCCGAGGACAGUUCACAAUAGGCUGGAACUGUCUAGGUGUGGUGGACGCGUUCAUGCGUGCAUGUAUGUGCGUGUGUGUUUAAAUGUGCACCCGUCUAUAUAUGCGUAUAUUCCCUGUAUCUUCCCCGCAUUCCUUGCUUUGCACCGUGGUAUCUUUCCGGUUUCCAUGACUUUCUUCUCUGCACUCCGCCCCUUCCCCCUUCCUUUCGCUGCCUCUGCCUCUGCCUUUCUCUCAGCGACUGUUGCUCCUACGCCUCAUGCGCCAACGACCUUAAUGCGAUGAACGCAACGCAACUGAAGAGAACAAAAAGGCAAAAUGCCAUCAAAGGAAUAGAAAG
rnacentral:misc_RNA from 1 species